rnacentral:rRNA from 1 species
CAGUAGCCGCGGUAAUACGUAGGUGGCAAGCGUUGUCCGGAAUUAUUGGGCGUAAAGGGCUCGCAGGCGGUUUCUUAAGUCUGAUGUGAAAGCCCCCGGCUCAACCGGGGAGGGUCAUUGGAAACUGGGAAACUUGAGUGCAGAAGAGGAGAGUGGAAUUCCACGUGUAGCGGUGAAAUGCGUAGAGAUGUGGAGGAACACCAGUGGCGAAGGCGACUCUCUGGUCUGUAACUGACGCUGAGGAGCAAAAGCGUGGGGAGCGAACAGGAUUAGAUACCCCUGUAGUCCCUGUCUCUUAUAC